GACGAACGCUGGCGGCGUGCCUAAUACAUGCAAGUAGGACGCACAGUUUAUACCGUAGCUUGCUACACCAUAGACUGUGAGUUGCGAACGGGUGAGUAACGCGUAGGUAACCUGCCUAUUAGAGGGGGAUAACUAUUGGAAACGAUAGCUAAUACCGCAUAACAGUAUGUAACACAUGUUAGAUGCUUGAAAGAUGCAAUUGCAUCGCUAGUAGAUGGACCUGCGUUGUAUUAGCUAGUAGGUAGGGUAAUGGCCUACCUAGGCGACGAUACAUAGCCGACCUGAGAGGGUGAUCGGCCACACUGGGACUGAGACACGGCCCAGACUCCUACGGGAGGCAGCAGUAGGGAAUCUUCGGCAAUGGGGGGAACCCUGACCGAGCAACGCCGCGUGACUUGAAGAAGGUUUUCGGAUCGUAAAGCUCUGUUGUUAAGGAAGAACGAGUGUGAAAAUGGAAAGUUCAUACUGUGACGGACUAACCA
rnacentral:rRNA from 1 species